rnacentral:rRNA from 1 species
GCAAGUCGAACGGCAGCAUAGCACUUCGGUGUUGAUGGCGAGUGGCGGACGGGUGAGUAACGCGUACACAAUCUACCUAUAAGAGGGGGAUAGCCACUGGAAACGGUGAAUAAUACCCCAUAGUAUUACAUUUAUGAUAUAAUAGUAAUUAAAGCUUCGGUGCUUAUAGAUGAGUGUGCGUCCGAUUAGCUAGUUGGUAAGGUAACGGCUUACCAAGGCGACGAUUGGUAGGGGGCGUGAGAGCGUGAUC